rnacentral:pre_miRNA from 1 species
UUGCUACUCCCUCCGUCUGGAAAUAUUUGUCCUAAAAAUGUAUAUAAUGGAUGUAUCUAUAAUUAAAAUAAGUCUAGAUACAUUCAUCUCUAGAACAAGUAUUUUCGGACGGAGGUAGUAGAAU